UGCCCACUCCUCCAUCUCACUCCUCCUCUGCAUGAGAGCCAGCUCUGCUCUAAGUAUUCCCUCUCCCUGCUUGCCAAGGAGUCCAGAGUGUGUGGAGAGAAAAGGCUGCUGAGAUAGGGAAGGUAGGGAAGGGAAUUCUUGAACAGUAGUAGGAGUCAUCAUUCCAAGAGGAAAAGCUGAGGAAUGGCUCCUGGAGAUGGAAGAUUUGUGAGUGGAGUGGCAGUAAAGUACUGCACAUUGCUGGUCACAGAGCAAUACAGUGCCGCCUGGCUGUCCAGAGAGUAGGAAGCAAACAGCCUCAGCUGCUCCUCUCUUAAUAUAACGUGCACAGCCCCACACUCUUCAGGUGUUCAUCAGAUUAUAGUGAGAGAUGGUGACAGCUUUUGGCCUUGCCAUCAUAUUGGUUCCUGCCACUCACCUCAGGACUUUUGUGGUGCUUCUUUUAGCCAGAGAAUAACUCCAGCACAGGACAUUAGAGCGUGUUGACCUUUCUGAUCUUGGGUCUGCUUCAGGUACUAGUGUCCAAUUUGGAUCAUCUUUGCCAUGAAGAAGUGCUAGUGGGAGUUGUAAGGGUGUUUUUUGUGAAGAGAUCUGACUCUCUGUACCUGACUGCCCCAUUGGUACCAAAUGGGCUGAAUUUUUUCUAUCUGGUCAUGCAUCAGUCUGUAGAAAAAGCCUGCAGGAUGCAUCCCAGGGGAUGGACCUUACAGGUGGGAAUUCUCUCAGACUACAUUAUAAAACAAAGACGGUUUCUGCCCAAUCUGUAGAUGGAGUAACAAGGAGGGGUUCCGUGCACAGUGACAUUUCACCUUGCCAUAAUUGCUUGCAAUUGCUAUUGGAAGUUUGACCAACAGUGUUCGCAUCACUGUAAAAGUAUGAGACAAGAGGAAAACAUACUUUUUGACUCUCCAGAAACUGUGGCAUAAUUCAGUUUCUGUGUUUUAUUCUCUUACUCUGCAUGGCUUAAUGCUGGGAAUACCUUCGAAACGAUGGACCAGAUAAGUCUGCUUGUCACCUACCAGUGUAUGCGUAUGACCAGGAAGGCAUCUGCAAAUAGUUUGUCUAGAAGUUUUCUAGGACUUUGAAAUACAGAAGAACCUUGACUCUGCCUUUUAAGAAAAGUGUCCUAACUACACUGAAUUUCAUAAUAUUUUUAAGGUUCUGAAGAUGCAGCUGCCAGACACAGAGCCAUGCUCCCGUACAGCCUUCCCAGGAGGCCUUGUGAAAUCAAGUUGCUCGCUGAGUGCCAGCAUGCCUUUUGUUCCUUCGAAGGCAGAGCUAGGAGCCCGCUUCCUCUGCCAAGAAUGCAGGCAGGCUACAUUGGGAAAAAAAAAAAAAAAAGAAAAAUCCCUCAAUUUUAUUCACUGCACUGUUUCAUCUUUUUAAGUAGCUGGCAUCUGCAGCUGGU